rnacentral:piRNA from 1 species
UCUCCAGGCCUGAAAUGAUCUCUUAAGU